GUGGCAACCCACUCCAGUGUUCUUGCCUGGAGAAUCCCAGGGACGGGGGAGCCUGGUGGGCUGCCGUCUAUGGGGUCGCACAGAGUCGGACACGACUGAAGUGACUUAGCAGCAGCAGCAGCAGGACUUAACUCAGGUAGUGUUUCAUCACAACCACAAUGCCUAUCGAGGAAGCACCUCAAAGUGUCAAGGGUCCAGCUGGAGAUCACAAUUAGCAGCCGAUGUAAGCGUUCACAAUCAAAGCUGGGAGAUACUUGUCACAAGGAAUUCAUCAUAACGUAUCUCAUACCUGACAAAAGCUUUCAAAAGAGAUAAAAUGGACCAAAUCAGAACUGCGAUGUCCAUCAUCA